GUUAUCUGAACCUUCGGGGNNNGAUAACGGCGUCGAGCGGCGGACGGGUGAGUAAUGCCUAGGAAAUUGCCCUGAUGUGGGGGAUAACCAUUGGAAACGAUGGCUAAUACCGCAUAAUGCCUACGGGCCAAAGAGGGGGACCUUCGGGCCUCUCGCGUCAGGAUAUGCCUAGGUGGGAUUAGCUAGUUGGUGAGGUAAUGGCUCACCAAGGCGACGAUCCCUAGCUGGUCUGAGAGGAUGAUCAGCCACACUGGAACUGAGACACGGUCCAGACUCCUACGGGAGGCAGCAGUGGGGAAUAUUGCACAAUGGGCGCAAGCCUGAUGCAGCCAUGCCGCGUGUGUGAAGAAGGCCUUCGGGUUGUAAAGCACUUUCAGUCGUGAGGAAGGUAGUGUAGUUAAUAGCUGCAUUAUUUGACGUUAGCGACAGAAGAAGCACCGGCUAACUCCGUGCCAGCAGCCGCGGUAAUACGGAGGGUGCGAGCGUUAAUCGGAAUUACUGGGCGUAAAGCGCAUGCAGGUGGUUUGUUAAGUCAGAUGUGAAAGCCCGGGGCUCAACCUCGGAAUAGCAUUUGAAACUGGCAGACUAGAGUACUGUAGAGGGGGGUAGAAUUUCAGGUGUAGCGGUGAAAUGCGUAGAGAUCUGAAGGAAUACCGGUGGCGAAGGCGGCCCCCUGGACAGAUACUGACACUCAGAUGCGAAAGCGUGGGGAGCAAACAGGAUUAGAUACCCUGGUAGUCCACGCCGUAAACGAUGUCUACUUGGAGGUUGUGGCCUUGAGCCGUGGCUUUCGGAGCUAACGCGUUAAGUAGACCGCCUGGGGAGUACGGUCGCAAGAUUAAAACUCAAAUGAAUUGACGGGGGCCCGCACAAGCGGUGGAGCAUGUGGUUUAAUUCGAUGCAACGCGAAGAACCUUACCUACUCUUGACAUCCAGAGAACUUUCCAGAGAUGGAUUGGUGCCUUCGGGAACUCUGAGACAGGUGCUGCAUGGCUGUCGUCAGCUCGUGUUGUGAAAUGUUGGGUUAAGUCCCGCAACGAGCGCAACCCUUAUCCUUGUUUGCCAGCGAGUAAUGUCGGGAACUCCAGGGAGACUGCCGGUGAUAAACCGGAGGAAGGUGGGGACGACGUCAAGUCAUCAUGGCCCUUACGAGUAGGGCUACACACGUGCUACAAUGGCGCAUACAGAGGGCAGCAAGCUAGCGAUAGUGAGCGAAUCCCAAAAAGUGCGUCGUAGUCCGGAUUGGAGUCUGCAACUCGACUCCAUGAAGUCGGAAUCGCUAGUAAUCGUGGAUCAGAAUGCCACGGUGAAUACGUUCCCGGGCCUUGUACACACCGCCCGUCACAC
rnacentral:rRNA from 1 species